AGUGAACGCUGGCGGUAGGCCUAACACAUGCAAGUCGAACGGCAGCACAGUAAGAGCUUGCUCUUACGGGUGGCGAGUGGCGGACGAGUGAGGAAUACAUCGGAAUCUACUUUUUCGUGGGGGAUAACGUAGGGAAACUUACGCUAAUACCGCAUACGACCUACGGGUGAAAGCAGGGGAUCUUCGGACCUUGCGCGAUUGAAUGAGCCGAUGUCGGAUUAGCCAGUUGGCGGGGUAAAGGCCCACCAAGGCGACGAUCCGUAGCUGGUCUGAGAGGAUGAUCAGCCACACUGGAACUGAGACACGGUCCAGACUCCUACGGGAGGCAGCAGUGGGGAAUAUUGGACAAUGGGCGCAAGCCUGAUCCAGCCAUACCGCGUGGGUGAAGAAGGCCUUCGGGUUGUAAAGCCCUUUUGUUGGGAAAGAAAAGCAGCAGGUUAAUACCCCGCUGUUCUGACGGUACCCAAAGAAUAAGCACCGGCUAACUUCGUG
rnacentral:rRNA from 1 species